AUACCUCGUGAUUUCUGAGGUCAAAGGGCUCCGGCGAGGGGCUUGGAGUCGGCGUUGGAGUCGUGUGGUCGCUCUUGCCGUCGCAUCCGGAGCCGUCGCCGGUGUCGCUGCCUUUGAGCUCGAAGUCGAUGUCCAUGUCGGACUGGAGGAGGGAGGAGGCGGCUCGCCGGUCAGCCGGUCGCGGAGGGAGCAGUGAGGGAGGUGGGCGCGGGGCUUCGGCGGAGGGAGCUGUGGCCCGUGGAGGAGGGAGAAGGUGAGGCGACGGUGGACGGGGAGGAGGCGGGGCGACGGUCGACGGACGACUGGCCCUGGCGGCGGCGGAGGGAAGAGGAGGGUGGAGGGAGGAGGCGGCCGCAGCCCGCCCGCGGGGGCGCAUGGCGUCUGGUGGAGGAUUUAGGGUUAGGUCUGGAGAGUGGAGAUUUCGGGAUUAUAUAUCAAUGUUAUUGGGUUGGGCCUAGGCAAGAUUUACU
rnacentral:lncRNA from 1 species